UAGGGAAUCUUCGGCAAUGGGGGCAACCCUGACCGAGCAACGCCGCGUGAGUGAAGAAGGUUUUUCGGAUCGUAAAGCUCUGUUGUAAGUCAAGAACGGGUGUGAGAGUGGAAAGUUCACACUGUGACGGUAGCUUACCAGAAAGGGACGGCUAACUACGUGCCAGCAGCCGCGGUAAUACGUAGGUCCCCGAGCGUUGUCCGGAUUUAUUGGGCGUA
rnacentral:rRNA from 1 species